rnacentral:rRNA from 1 species
AUGCAUGAGUUAACUAAGGAAAACAUUGAGCGCAUGAAUGCUAAAUAUAAACUUGCUGGAGAUAAGGGUAGAAAACAUGUUGUGUUUGCACCUGGAGAUCUUGUUUGGUUACAUUUGCGUAAGGAUAGAUUUCCUGAUUUGCGCAAAUCAAAGUUAAUGCCACGUGCUGAUGGUCCCUUUAAGGUGUUAGAGAAAAUAAAUGAUAAUGCAUAUAAACUUGAGCUGCCUGCAGAUUUUGGGGUUAGUCCCACUUUUAACAUUGCAGAUUUGAAGCCUUAUUUGGGUGAGGAAUAUGAACUUCCGUCGAGGACGACUUCAUUUCAAGAAGGGGAGGAUGAUGAGGACAUCAAUACAAUUGUUACACCCACAGCCCCUGCUGCUAUACAUACUGGACCACUUACUAGAGCUCGUGCACGCCAACUAAAUUACCAGGAAACAGACCCUCUUGGUCAGGUUGAUCGUGCUCCGGCGUGGUCAAUAACCUCUCGGAGUUGGUUUAGCGAUUGCUAA